UUUUCAUAAAACAUCCGAGUAUCCAACUGAUAAUAGAAAACGGAAGGAAACCGAGGCAAGAUUCUGAUUGGAUCGUGGAAUUUCCUUGGUGGAAUAUCAUUUUUCCUCCACAGCUCAUUUCUUUUUCGGGGCAAUACAUCAAAUCACUGGGCUAAAGAACGAUAUAAUGGUUGAGAAAAGUACACGGCGUUUACCUAUUGGAUGCUUGGUGUUUGUGUAAUUGCUAACAAUGAUAAUUAUAAGAAGAAGAAGACGAAUAAGAAGAGGCACAGUGAUGACACUGCCGAGCCUGAAGAAGAAGAAGAAGAAGACUUUGGCGAAGAAUUCAAAAUUUGAAGCCAAGAGGAGGAAAGGAAACCAAGAUACAGAUAAUAAAGAGUUGAAUGAUUAUACUGACAGUGUCAUAAACAAGAAAACGAGCAAUCGGUUUAAGAGAAAGCGAAAAGCAAAAAGUAAGGCAGAGGAGGAGCUGUCUAAUGAAGAUUUAGUCAGCAUUGCCGAAGAGGUGAGGUGAUUCAUUUACUGCUCAAGAUGGAUGUAAUGCAAUGUGGCAUGCCAUGUUUUACAAAUUAAAGAAUUGUUGAAGAAUUUCAUUUAAAACGGAAGCCAUUCUGAUGAUGGAUAGCAUGAUUGUUCAUGCCAACAGAGACUUGUGAACUUGAAUUGCCAUUUCAUCAUAUUUAAUCACAAUUAAGAAACAGAAUUGUCGUUAAAGAUACACUCUUUUCUCGGCUUAAGCGGUGUGUUUGGUGAUUGAUCCCAGGGUAGUAUGUCAAAGUUGAUGAGGAUUCAGGGAAAAAGCAUACAUCAAGUAGAGAACGUAAAUUACAAAGACAACUUACAACAGCAACUUCCUCUAAGCAUGAUCUAGAAGAGUCUCUCAUUGUUCCUGAUGACGAACAUACAUCAGCUAGCUGUGAAACACUGCUUCUUAUAGUUUAACUCUGAAUUUAGUAAGUGAACAAAAUCUCAUUUCCACAAGUAGGACAGGGGAUACUGCACAUGACAUGUUGGAUCUGUUUUUGGGCCCCUUGCUUAAGAAGCUGAUGGAAGAGGACAGAAUUUGUAACAAAGGAUAUGGAUUUUUUUUUGCAUAUGAGCGGAAAAAGAGAAGUCAGAAUGAUGUUGGAGGAGGAAUGGCGCCCCCGAUGAAGAAGAGCAUUCUCAAAGACAAGGUUACCUUGUUGCUUGACUGAAUGAAAGAUCCAAAUUUCUUAACGGGGAGUCAUCAAUUAUCCGGGAGCCAAAGUAUUGAGAUGCUACUGUGAUACUCUCAAUUUGUUUCCAUCAAGCAAGCAUUCUCUGGAAACUUCCAUCACCUCUUCACAACAGAUGAUAUUUCCCCAGGGCAUUUGGGGCCCUGGAGGAACAACGAGAGAUGGUGCAUGCAUAAGGGAUCUCAGAUGGAUGGUGAAUUGCCUGAUUUUAGAGGUAAAUUAUUAAUAUACUAUUAAUGUAACUGGCCAUGAUCUUUUCUUUUGCGAUUAUUUAUGUUGCUUGAUUGGCUCUUUAUUGGAUGUAAGAACAACUUCUUGAUUUUCACUGCAGUCUGGUAUGAACCUGUGAGUAGGUAAUUAUUUAGAUGGUCA